rnacentral:lncRNA from 1 species
UCCUUCCCCGCGCAGGGAGGAGGCAGCAGCUUCUCUUCCGGCUUUGCUGCGGGCGGUUCGGCCCCCGCUGACCCGAUGGGCGCACGGCUGAGCUCAGCCCCUGCCCGGCUGGGGGUCGGUUCUGCCGGCCCUGCGGCAGAAUCCCUCCGUGCUCCUUCCAAAUGGGGCUCCGAAGGCUCAGCCUUCACUGCUGGCAGCCCGUCCUUCACAGGAGGGAUGGAAAUGGGUUCCUUCUUCACCACGCCGGGCUCCACCGGAGGAUGAGCAGCUGCAGACUGCACCCCUCCCGAUCCCUCCGGGUAUCUCUUCAAGCCACAGCUAAAGGUAGUAAACAAAAAACAGAAGAAAUCAAAUACAGAAUAAUAAGAAAUACAGUCAGCAGAGACCUCUCCACGCCGACGGCCCACUGUGCUCACACAGCGUUCGGAGGUCUGACCUCGCAGCGUUAAGGCAGUGAAAACCCGCAGGCAAAGAGCUGCUUUGUUCCCCAUAGCCCCGGCGGUGCCCGCAGGACUCGGAGCUGCCGGGGCUGCCCUCGGUGCCACUGCCCCAGCACUGCGCCGCUCGGAGCCCACGCAGGUCGUGGCUGAAGGGCUGCUGGCACUGCCGCAGCCAACCGACCCAUCGCUUCCCAUUGCUCGGGCAGCUCUGAGGGCAGCGCGAGCCCUGUGCCAUCGGAGGGCUCUGCCGUGGCUCGGCUCCGGCGCUCCACGAGCCCGACGGCUUUGGAACGGCGCGUUGGGUUUUAUGGGGAGGGGGUUUUUCAGCCGGAGGGCGACGGCAACCCGUUCCGGCGCGUCCAAGGAGGUCGUGGGGCGAGAGGGGGGUGGCACGACGGGUCUGUGGGCGGCGCGGAGCCGCGAAGGGCUGAAGGAAGGGCUCAGGGAGCCGGGAGGGGAGAGCUGCAGAUGAGCCCGAGGGCCGCGCGGGGCUGAGCCUGCUGUGCUGGGAGCCGGAGCGGCGCCACGGGGGGGCACAGGGCUGGAACCCCUCUGCUGUGGGGACAGGGAGGGAGCUGCGGCUGUGCGGCACGGAGCGGGCUCGGAGGAGGCCGUGCGGUGGCCUUCCAGGACCCGGAGGGGCCUAUGGGAAAGCUGGGCAGGGACAGCAUAAGGGCGAGGGGUGACGGGACGAGGGGAAACGGCUUUGCAGUUCAAGGGGGGAGAUCGAGAGCGGGCAAUAGGAAGGCGUUCUCUAUGGGGAACGGGUUGUCCAGGGAGGUGUGGAUGCCCCAUCCCUGCAGGCAUUCCAGGCCAGGCUGGAUGUGGCUCUGGGCAGCCUGGGCUGCUGGUUGGGGACCUGCACAUAGCAGGG